rnacentral:rRNA from 1 species
AAUGAACGCUGGCGGUAGGCUUAACACAUGCAAGUCGAACGGAAACGAAAAAGAGCUUGCUCUUUAGGCGUCGAGUGGCGGACGGGUGAGUAACGCGUGGGAAUCUACCCUAUAGUUGGGGACAACAUAUGGAAACGUAUGCUAAUACCGAAUGAACUCUACGGAGUAAAGGAGCCCUCUUCUUGAAAGGUUUCGCUAUAGGAUGAGCCCGCGUUAGAUUAGCUAGUUGGUGAGGUAAAGGCUCACCAAGGCCACGAUCUAUAGCUGGUUUGAGAGGAUGAUCAGCCACACUGGGACUGAGACACGGCCCAGACUCCUACGGGAGGCAGCAGUGGGGAAUAUUGCACAAUGGACGCAAGUCUGAUGCAGCCAUACCGCGUGUGUGAAGAAGGCCCGAGGGUUGUAAAGCACUUUCAGUAGGGAGGAAGAUUAUAGAGUUAAUACCUUUAUAGUUUGACGUUACCUACAGAAGAAGCACCGGCUAACUCUGUGC